UUCAUUUGCAGCCCAUCCUGGCGCAGAACAAAUUGAGGCCUCCGACGAGUUUCAGUGUUGUCGCUGUUUUUAGUUUUUUUAACACAUUUUUUUUUAUUUUCUUUUUUAUUUUGAACUGGAUUGAGGAAAAUAAACAACAAGCUAUAAUUCUAAGCACGCUGGGCUAUGUCAGGGAAGUUGAAAAUCUCGAAUAAUUAUUCAAUUUUAUUCCUGCUCAAGCUUUUUUUAUUGUCAAGUGCAAGUGCUGGUCCUCGAACAUGCCUUAACCUCGGUGAAAAAUGCGAUGUGAAAAAUGACGAUUGCUGCAUUUUAAUGGAAUGUGUACCGAAAGGUGCAAACGCAUACUGUGUGUGCGAAAAAAGCUAUAAACCUGGAGGAGACCACAAUCAAGAAUGCUUUUAUGAUAUGCCACUUCUUGCGGAAAUUGGUAUAGGGAUGGUUGGGGUUUUGGCAGGCAUUGUAUUUUUAAGCUUUUUUAUGACACAAUGCAUCAUAAGAAGGAAUCGAAGGAGGCAGAUGGAAGCGGCAACCAAUUCACCAAAUCGAGGCGUUUUUGAAGGAAUCCAGAUUCCGGCGGAUUUGGCGGAAAAUGAAUCUGAAUCCGUGCGCCCCCAGCAAUGAGAAUAACCAAAAAGCAGUUACUGGGUGCAAUUAAAUAAAAACUUAUUUAACUUAUUAAGCUUUUUUGUAAAUUAAUGGAGGAGAGGGGAAAUAAAAUGUCAAAAAAUAUAAGAUUUUCUUCGUUUACGCGCUGUUCUUGUAAAUUGAAUAAAAAGUGAGAAACAUCAA